CCCAUUUCUCCUUGCGGGAGGCAGCAGUGGGGAAUAUUGCACAAUGGGCGGAAGCCUGAUGGCAGCGACGCCGCGUGAGGGAUGACGGCCUUCGGGUUGUAAACCUCUUUCAGUAGGGAAGAAGCGAAAGUGACGGUACCUGCAGAAGAAGCGCCGGCUAACUACGUGCCAGCAGCCGCGGUAAUACGUAGGGCGCAAGCGUUAUCCGGAAUUAUUGGGCGUAAAGAGCUCGUAGGCGGUUUGUCGCGUCUGCCGUGAAAGUCCGGGGCUCAACUCCGGAUCUGCGGUGGGUACGGGCAGACUAGAGUGAUGUAGGGGAGACUGGAAUUCCUGGUGUAGCGGUGAAAUGCGCAGAUAUCAGGAGGAACACCGAUGGCGAAGGCAGGUCUCUGGGCAUUAACUGACGCUGAGGAGCGAAAGCAUGGGGAGCGAACAGGAUUAGAUACCCUGGUAGUCCAUGCCGUAAACGUUGGGCACUAGGUGUGGGGGACAUUCCACGUUUUCCGCGCCGUAGCUAACGCAUUAAGUGCCCCGCCUGGGGAGUACGGCCGCAAGGCUAAAACUCAAAGGAAUUGACGGGGGCCCGCACAAGCGGCGGAGCAUGCGGAUAAGUUCGAUGCAACGCGAAGAACCUUACCAAGGCUUGACAUGAACCGGUAAGACCUGAAACAGGCCCCCCCG
rnacentral:rRNA from 1 species